UACAGAGGGGGCAAGCGUUGUUCGGAAUUACUGGGCGUAAAGGGCGCGUAGUCGGCCACCUAAGUCAGACGUGAAAUCCCUCGGCUCAACCGGGGAACUGCGUCUGAUACUGGGCGGCUUGAAUUCGGGAGAGGAAUGCGGAAUUCCAGGUGUAGCGGUGAAAUGCGUAGAUAUCUGGAGGAACACCGGUGGCGAAGGCGGCAUUCUGGACCGACAUUGACGCUGAGGCGCGAAAGCCAGGGGAGCAAACGGG
rnacentral:rRNA from 1 species